UACAGAGGGGGCGAGCGUUGUUCGGAAUUACUGGGCGUAAAGGGCGCGUAGGCGGCCUUCUAAGUCGAACGUGAAAUCCCCGGGCUCAACCCGGGAACUGCGUCCGAUACUGGGUGACUUGAGUUCGGGAGAGGAAUGUGGAAUUCCAGGUGUAGCGGUGAAAUGCGUAGAUAUCUGGAGGAACACCGGUGGCGAAGGCGGCAUUCUGGACCGAAACUGACGCUGAGGCGCGAAAGCCAGGGGAGCAAACGGG
rnacentral:rRNA from 1 species